GAUUAACGCUGGCGGCGUGCCUUAUGCAUGCAAGUCGAACGGUCUUGAUUUAUCAAGAUAGUGGCAAACGGGUGAGUAACGCGUAAGUAACCUACCCCUAAGUAAGGAAUAACUCUGAGAAAUUAGAGCUAAUACCUUAUGUGGUAGUGCCGGUAAGGCGGCACCACUAAAGCCUUCGGGUGCUUGGGGAUGGGCUUGCGUCCGAUUAGUUAGUUGGUGGGGUAAUGGCUUACCAAGGCAAUGAUCGGUAGCUGGUCUGAGAGGACGAGCAGCCACACUGGGACUGAGAUACGGCCCAGACUCCUACGGGAGGCUG
rnacentral:rRNA from 1 species